AAGGAAUCCUAAAACCCUAACUUACCACCCCCUUCCUCCCCCCCACCACACCGACCAAUGGCGCCGCGCGGCAACCGCAGCAGCAAGAAGCCGCCGCCGCCGCGGGGCAAGGGCAAGGGCAAGCGCCCCUCGUCCGCCGCCGCCGGAGACGACCCCUUCUUCGAGUCGGAGCCCAAGCGCCGCCGCGCCCGCGCGGACGAGGACAUCGAGAGCGGGGACAGCGACGACGACGCCCUCGCGCUGGGCGGCGCCGUCGUGGGCGAGGAUGAGGAGGAGGAGAAGGAGGACCUGGAAACGGCCGGGGAGAAGAGGUUGCGGAUGACCAAGGAGUACCUGGAGAGGAUCACCGACGCGGUGAAGAGGAACAAGGAGGAAGAGGAGGAGGAGGACGACGAAGAUGACGACGAGGAUGAUGGUCUGCCCGGGGGGAGGCGGGUCGCCAAGCUCCUCCGGAAGAAGCAGCUCGUGGAGAGCGGCAGGCAGCGCCUGAGCCUUGCCGCAAGGGUGUUACCGCCGGGACAGCAGGAUGGAUUCAAAUUUAUAGCCAAGCACCGGCAGCCAGUGACUGCCGUUGCUCUGUCUAAGGACAGUGACAAGGGCUUUUCGGCGUCCAAAGAUGGAGUUAUCCUCCAUUGGGAUGUCGAGACCGGGAAAAGCGAGAAGUAUUUGUGGCCAACUGAAAAGGUGUUGGUUUCGCACCAUGCUAAAGCUCCUCUGUCUAAAAAGAGAAGCCAGCAGGUGCUUGCACUGGCUGUUAGUUCCGAUGGGCGAUACUUGGCCACUGGUGGCUUCGAUAGGCAUAUCCAUUUGUGGGAUGUUCGAACACGGGAGCACAUACAGGCAUUCAGUGGACAUAGAGGGCCAGUAUCCUGUCUUGCUUUUGGCCUGGACUCUUCGGAGCUAUUCUCUGGUUCUUAUGAUCGUUCAAUAAUGCAGUGGAAUGCUGAAGAUAGAACAUACAUGCACUGCCUAUAUGGUCAUCAAGGUGAAAUAUUGACAACUGAUGCACUCAGCAAAGAUAGACUUCUGACUGUAGCACGGGAUAGAACAAUGCAUCUUUGGAAGAUACCGGAGGAGUCACAGUUAGUCUUUCGCGCGCCUGCUGUGUCUUUGGAGUGCUGCUGUUUUAUCGAUGACAAGGAAUAUUUGUCUGGAUCAGAUGACGGAAGCCUCGAGCUUUGGAGUGUUAUGAGAAAGAAGCCUACUCACAUAAUAAAAAAUGCCCAUCCAGCAUUAGCUCCUAGUUCACUUGACAGUGCUGAUGAAAAGUUGCCCAAAGAAAAUGGAAUUUGUAAGCCUCAAAGCCUUUCAUCAGCUCAUUCAUGGAUUAGUGCUGUUGCUGCAAGAAAAGGUUCUGAUCUGGCUGCGUCUGGAGCAGCAAAUGGUGUUGUUCGCCUUUGGACAAUUCAACCUGAUUCAAAAGGGAUGCAGCCAUUGUUCGACUUGCCACUGGAUGGCUUUGUCAAUUCUCUUGCAAUAGCAAAAUUGGGACGCUUCAUUGUUGCUGGUGUUGGCCGAGAACCUCGUCUUGGGAAAUGGGGCCAUGUCGCAACAGCAAAGAAUGGGGUUGCAAUUCACCGGCUUAGUCUACAAGAUGACUCUGAAGAUUUGUAAGGUAGAUAGCCUGCGCAUUGAGGAACACCCUGCGGCUUGUUCAUACACUGUCAAGACGAGAAAAAUUGUACCAACACCAUGAGUGUCAGUCACACUUGCAGCUGAAAGAUACAGGAAGGUCGAACCGCAAGCUUCACGCAUGCUAUAGUUCUAUGAUGCACCAGCUUUACCGUUCGGUUCAGUGAAGCAAUUUCUGUGUGCAAGCACGGAUGGAGAGGUGUUGGAAUGAUUGGAUGUAGAAUGCGUGAUUUCUGGGGAAUGUCAUGUCCAGUUUUCUUCUCUGUUUCCAUUGUAGACGGCAGGUGCAGGUUUGAAACCCUAUUCUUUUGCGCCCUGCCUGAAAUGAUUGUCACAGGAAAUUGUUGAGGUAGUUUUUUGCAGGGAAACAUUUUUGUGGUUUUGGCUUUGGCGGGAGACAUUCUAUGUAAUAGCAAAUUUUGAUGGCUGGUAGCGGUCUUUGGUGAAACUGAAAUUUAUGUUCUUUCCUCGAUACAAAUAUG
rnacentral:rRNA from 1 species